rnacentral:rRNA from 1 species
CAACAACGGAUCUCUUGGUUCCGGCAUCGAUGAAGAACGCAGCGAAAUGCGAUAACUAAUGUGAAUUGCAGAAUUCAGUGAAUCAUCGAGUCUUAAAAAAAACAUUGCGCCCUCUGGUAUUCCGGAGGGCAUGCCUGUCCGAGCGUCAUUGCUGCCC